rnacentral:lncRNA from 1 species
AAACCCGUACAAUGCCCAGUUAAUUUUUUGGAUUUUGUUAGCUCCCUGGUAUUUUAACUGAUCUUUAGUAUUUUGGAGCUGACAUUAUCAUCUCUUUUUACUAAUUUUGCAUCUUCUUGAUGCCCUUUAAUGACAAUUACUUACUUCAUCAGAAAAAAGGGAUAUAGGACAUAUGUAUAUAGAAUAUUCUCCUACUCAG